UGGGGAAUAUUGCACAAUGGGCGAAAGCCUGAUGCAGCGACGCCGCGUGAGGGAUGACGGCCUUCGGGUUGUAAACCUCUUUCGACAGGGAUGAAGCCUUCGGGUGACAGUACCUGUAGAAGAAGCACCGGCUAACUACGUGCCAGCAGCCGCGGUAAUACGUAGGGUGCGAGCGUUGUCCGGAAUUAUUGGGCGUAAAGAGCUCGUAGGUGGUCCGUCACGUCGGGUGUGAAAACCCAGGGCUCAACCCUGGGCGUGCACUCGAUACGGGCGGACUAGAGUUCGGUAGGGGAGACUGGAAUUCCUGGUGUAGCGGUGGAAUGCGCAGAUAUCAGGAGGAACACCGGUGGCGAAGGCGGGUCUCUGGGCCGAUACUGACACUGAGGAGCGAAAGCGUGGGGAGCGAACAG
rnacentral:rRNA from 1 species